AGCCAACCCGCGGUCAAGAGAGUAAUCAUGCUGCCACGGGAUGGGCGCGGCGCGAUCGCUCGAUCGGAAGCGUGACAUGCGUGCGAGCUAGCUAGGCUAAAACUAAACGCUCCUCUGAAAUCCGAAAGGCGAGGCAGGAUGAGUACGCUCUGCUCUGUCAUGGCCCGCGUCCAGCAAACCCCGACGUGUUUGGUGAGUUGCCAUGGCCAUGGCCAUGGUCAUGGCGUGUAUAAAUGGCGCGCCCGGCGAUCGGCUCCGGCACCCGCACUCGCCGAGCCAAGCAAUACACAGUAGUGAGCAAUAGUAGGCAGCGCAGCAGGAUACAUAGCAGUUAGCACCACAGCGAGCAGCUGCCCGUACGCACGCUUGAUGGCGAUGGCGAUGGCGAGCUUCGUCGCUCAGCUCAAGGACAUGUUCCUCGGCCUCGUCGACCGCGUCACCGGCUGCCGCGGCUGUGGCGGAGACAAGCAGGACGUGCCGGAGGCAACCAAGUUAGCAAGCCUCCAGCCCGUUGAGAUCAGGUCGAGAGACCCCGUUGUGGGCGGAGGAUCCGUGGCUGGGGCCAAUUGAUUGCUAAUACUGCCAGACAAGCUGCACGAGAUUGCUGUGGCGUUCCAGCAAAUUCCAAGCUUUUUUUUUAUUUGUUAUUUUUCGUCAAAGGAAGCUGUUCUUUCCACACACAAAAAAGCGCAUAAUGCGUGUGCAGUGUUAUUGAUUGAUUUCUCCUCUAUGAUUGUAAUUGAACCCGGUAUUUUUUUUUCUUUUUCGUUUGUUUCUUUUGGCGUUACCAUUGUGAUUCCGAGUUUACGUACAUGCUGUAUCUUGCUAUCUUCAAGUAAACAAUAAACAGUAAUGGUUUGACCAAUA